rnacentral:rRNA from 1 species
CUUUACGGAGGAAAAGAAACCAACUGGGAUUGCCUUAGUAACGGCGAGUGAAGCGGCAAAAGCUCAAAUUUGAAAUCUGGUACCUUUGGUGCCCGAGUUGUAAUUUGGAGAGUACCACUUUGGGACUGUACUUUGCCUAUGUUCCUUGGAACAGGACGUCAUGGAGGGUGAGAAUCCCGUGUGGCGAGGGUGUCAGUUCUUUGUAAAGGGUGCUCGAAGAGUCGAGUUGUUUGGGAAUGCAGCUCUAAGUGGGUGGUAAAUUCCAUCUAAAGCUAAAUACAGGCGAGAGACCGAUAGCGAACAAGUACAGUGAUGGAAAGAUGAAAAGAACUUUGAAAAGAGAGUGAAAAAGUACGUGAAAUUGUUGAAAGGGAAGGGCAUUUGAUCAGACAUGGUGUUUUGCGCCCCUUGCCUCUCGUGGGCUUGGGACUCUCGCAGCUCACUGGGCCAGCAUCGGUUUUGGCGGCCGGAAAAAACCUAGGGAAUGUGGCUCUGCGCCUCGGUGUAGAGUGUUAUAGCCCUGGGGAAUACGGCCAGCCG